ACAUACGACCAUAGACUGAGGAGAACUAGGCAUCCCGUCCGCUCUGCCAAAUAUAAGCCUCAGAUCGGUAGAUUAGUAGUUGGGUGGGUGACCACCAGCGAAUACCUACUGUUGUAUGUU
rnacentral:rRNA from 1 species